GCAGCCCCUUCAAAACCAAGCUGUGUGCCCGGGCUGUGCCCCCCGCCGAGCUCCUGCACGAGCCCCGCUCCUGCGGCCCUGCGCUGCUGGCCCUGCCUGCCACGGGUCAAGAUGGCCCAGCUAUGGCUGCCUACUUGAGGAGGGCAUAUGCAAAUAAGACGAACACACAGCAUGCUGGGAGAGAGUUCUUUGGGGAUGAAAGGCACCCCAAAAUGGAAGACUGGACACGGUGAAAGAUCCAGGCGAUGCUCUAGCCGAGGAAGGAGUGGACGCACCCCCUGACCUGGUUUGAGAACUCGCCAUGAUCUAUUAAGAGUCUGACGGGCAUGGGAACCAGGCCAGCUCGAGGGGUCAGAGACAGAGAGCGAGGUACUCUCAAGGGUUUUUCAUGAGGGUAAAGAGCUGACAUCUGCUGCUUUGCACUUCAGUGACAGAUCUCCACAACUCUGCUGUUGGAUGGUUGACCAGAGAGAGCUUCUAGCUGUUCCCAUGGGAACAAGGACUUGGCACCUACUGUUUGCAGCUGAGUGAUGAACUGGGACAGUACCUGUUCCUCCGGAUUGCUACAGCAGUGUGAAAAACUCCUGUCGGACUCUACCACCCAGCUGAUCACUUUAAUAAAGAGCUGAAUAUUAAUAAAGGCAUAAGCCCUGUGCAUUUCACCCAGACACAGAGUGAUAAAGCCAAGGAGCCAGGCAGCAGCCAUGUGCACUGAUGCUGGAGAAGGAAGGAAGCUGCUGCUGCAGUGAGGCCCCUGCAGUCAUGGGUAACAAACUCAUGAUGCUUCAGGCUGCAGUGGGGCAGUGUCCCCACCCAGACUGGCACAUGGGGGCUGGUGACUCACUGCCUGGCCACUGGCCUCAGGCACAGGCUGGGCAGCAGCUGCACUGCGCUGGAGGUGCACUGGGCUGCAGAUUCAGCCAGCUUGUCACAGCAGAGGAGUCUGUCCAUAGCUCCACGUGCCAACUCCACUGCCUUGUCCUUAUUCUGAAGAACACCAUGUUCUGUAUAAAGAUCCUUUUUCUUGGCAGUGGAAAUGAUGAACAGUUCCUUACUUCUAGGAAAAUCCCACAAAAACUGUAAUGCCCAUGCUGCCAGUUACCCUGGGCAGUCUGCACAGGGGUGCCAUAUCUGGGGUCUGCCUGAUGCUACAGAUGAUCUGGGCUGCUCCAUUUCUUUCUAUUAUCUCCAGUGAAUAUUUUCAUCCAUACCUUAUGGAGCUGAGGGCCUUUCCUACUGGAGUCUAUGGAGAACAUGUGCACAUGUGCACCACAUCUGGUGUAUUUUUCAGCACACAUGGUAUUUUGAACUUUCACAUCAACCCUUUUGAAAAAUCAGUCCAAGGUGCUGUUCUCCCAGGCUCUGGAAACAGACACUAGGCUUUCUUCAUCACCCUAGUUAUUCCUGAACCAGCAGCAGCUGCAUCAUGAGACCACACCUCAGGAGCAUGAAAGCUCUUAAUUCUGGAAAAAUCAGUAAACAGGUUUGGGAAACAUUGGCACAGACAGGAACACACACAAAGAAUGUACAAGAAACACAGUAAUCUUUUUGCAAUUCUUGAGUUUAUUACUUCAGCAUGUGGGCUGUUUUUGUUACUCAGUCUUCCCCUUUCCAUUGCUAUCUUUCUUAGGAAAGGUGCACAAAUACUUUUCCUGGACCUGUACAUAAACCAGACACACAGAUGCACAAACUUUUUUUUUUUUUUUCAAUUUUCUUAAGCCUUGGUUUCUUAACUUCUUAAGAGAGAAAGUGUAUUAAAAACUCAUGAUGCACUCAGACCCAAUAUCUGACAGUGAGCUGCGCUGAGGGGAGAGGACUCUGAGACAGAGGAAUAUGACACUAAUCCAUAACAGAAAUUACAGUUCAACCAGCACAGGGAGUCAGAGGCACAGAUCAACCUCCCAAAGAAUUCUGUUGUCUGCAUGAUGCUGUCAAAAAGCACACCAGAAAAUCCUGGUUUUCACUGAUUCACUCUUGGCAAAACUGUGGCCUUUGGGAAGGAAUUAACAAACCAAACCUGACCUGGGACAGAUGCAACAUGCUUACCUCCCCCUCUCCCUUCAGCUCAUGAAAACUUGAGACUAUUCAGCCCUUGGCCUCAACAAGUCAGUAAGACUGUGAAGGCUUGAAUAAGACAAACUUGACAAAAGUCAACUCAAAAGAUGGAAACGAGAAGGGUCACAAGGUAAGAACAGGUACAGAAGCACAGAAAUAAAAUGACACUGAAGGUGUUACACACUCAGGAACAGGACCUUCCUCUGCAACUCAGAGAUUUGACAGUGAAGCACAAAUCCAAUCAAGUUGGGCCAGCAUAGGUAACAUGCAUUAUCUAGCAGGCUUCAGAAUAUCUACCUUGGAUUCUCAAAUAUAAAAGAGCUCAGCACUUAUUAGUUCAGGAACAUAGUUCAGGAACAUUAGAGAGAACAAAGCCUGCAGGUAGCCUGAAUUCCUAAAACUGGAAAAAAAUUAAAGUAACUGUGCUGGUAGAAAAUAUCAGGUGAUAUUAUCCAAGGGGGUUUCUACCUGCAUCCAGGCCUCUUGUAGCCCCAGAAGUUUGCUGUCACUUCAGCACACAGCAGGUUUGUGUGGGCUGGUGAAGCUGUGACAUGCUUGGUACUAGCACACAACUUGCUACUCCACUGACACUGGGGCUGGUCUCCACAGUGCAGCUGCUCAGAGAACUUGGGAAACAGUGCCAAAAGAAACUUUGGGGAAAGACUCUUUGGUGAAGUAGACGCUAGUUUAUGUAAUUCAUUGUCAAAAGACUCAGAUGCAUCAGGAUUAAUUUGGCUUUAAGAAUCCAUGGGAAGAAACUGCAGCAUGAAACCUGAUGUCCAUUCAGGGGCAGGGAACAAUAGCUGCUACCAGCACAGAGAUACCUUAAUGUGACACCCUGUGUCAGUGCAAGGCACCCCAGGGCUCCCCUUCUCAUUUUAGGGACAGCUGCUGGCAUUUGCUUAACAUGAAUCAGUCCUACUGACCAUCUCCAAGGACACACAACCUGUGAACUAAGGGCAGGUUACCCCAGAACUGCCAUGCAAAGUGCAUGAGAAAUCAGCGCUACACAGGGAGGCAAGCACUUCCUACCACAACUCCUACAAUCCAGGGCAAUGGAUGUAUGACAGCAUGUUAAAAAAUAAUACUCCACAGUUAAAUGUCAUUUUCCAUAGGAAAAAUGUUCCCUAUACCUAGGAACAAAUCUAGGAGUAGGAAAGUAAUCUAAGCAAAUGCAAACAAUUGCAGCCAGUAACUAUCAAAAAAGAAAUCUCAAAUUAAAAACAAAAUUUAAAAACAAUUCCAAACAGUAGUGUCAUGGGUUAACACUGGCCAGAUGUUAAUGCACUCAUGAAUAUAUGUUUUUUCUCUAACAACUACUGUGGGAUGUGAUCAGGAACAGAGCAGAGCAGGCUUAAAUCUUGAAACAAAAACACCCAAAACUUUAUUACAUUACAUAAGAAGAGACAGAAAACUCUUAAACACACACAGAGACAGAAAUAAAAACUUCUCAGAACAUUUCUUCUCUCAGUUUCAACUCUCCACACAUUACUCUUCACAGACCAAACCUUUGGGUUUUAAAUUAAACAAUCACUACUCAAAAAAAACCAAUCUUCAAUUCAGCAAGGGAGAGAGGAGUCUCUCCUGCACCACAGACUGUUCUUCAGAAAACACAGGUCCACCCCUUAUGUGUUUCUAUGUCACCCGUGGCACCGCCCGGAGAAGUCUGCUAGGGUGACACUCUCUUAUGUCUAGCGCUCUCACUGCUGUCUAUAGGCUGAAGCUGUAUAUAGGGCUCUUUUAAGGAUGCUUGCAUGCCAAGCUCUCCCCAUUUUUCCCCUUGGGGCCGAGGGUUUCAAGAGCAGGUCUCCCCUGAGGGCAGAGGGCGCCACUACACCCUCCCCCUCUCUUCUCUGCUCGCUCUACUCUUAAAGUGCCAGUCACUGUAGCAAAAGCAAAGGCAGCUGCACCUACCUAAAUGCAGUUUAUGUUUAAAAGAGACUUAAGUUCAGUCCAUGGCUAACAUUAUACAAGAAAAGUCCAGCUCAAAAGCUACUCCUCUUCAAUCUCUGCCCAUCUGGGUUUUUUCAUCUUCUUUUAUCAUCUCGGUCCCAGGCUGUUUCUCUCUCUCUCUCUUCUGAAACUACUAGUCAUGAGAAUUAAUGUCUAAGAAAAGUUUCUUUCUGCCAAGAAAAAGGUUAAGAGUUUCUAGCUCUCGGCAGGGCUGCAGGCUCAGGCACUCCCAGGCUGGGCAACUCCCACGUGGCUGGGCACUUUCUCCCGGGGGGGGGGGGAAGGGUGAGCACACAUGGAAAGCACUUCUACAGUUUUCUACUCCUCCAUCCUGGAUGGGGCCAGCUCAGCUCAAAGCUUGUUCACUCUCUUCCCCUUGGAGCUCCAGUUCACCUCAGCUCAGUUGCAUAGUUCUCUUCUAGCUCAGCUACGUGGUUCCCCUCCCCCACCCAGCCUUGAAAGCCAGGCAGGGGAGGUGUUGCCCCGCUGAAGCCGAGAUCCAAAAAGAGGCCGAACCCCCCUGGAGUCCUGCUUUUAACUCCUUGUGUCUUCAGAGGCGUGUCCAAACCUCUGAGUGACUAAUCUAAGUGCCAGCAGAAAAGCUGAUUACUGAUUAGCCCGCCCACAUCCCCCUGGAAAAAUUCACCUCCCCCCGCAACUACGACAAGUAGGCAAGCCACCUAUUGAAACAGGCUCUCCAAACAGUAAAACCAAGGUUUAAAACAUUACAUACCACAUUACUAUUCAGCUAAUAAAAACAAACACCACCCCCCAACAAAAAAAAA